GAUGAACGCUGGCGGCGUGCUUAACACAUGCAAGUCGAACGGAAAGGCCCUGCUUGCAGGGUACUCGAGUUGCCAACGGGCGAGUAACUCGUGGGUGAUCUGCCCUCUACUUUGGGAUAAGCCUGGGAAACUGGGUCUAAUACCUAAUAUGACAUAUGUUUGGAUGCGAUUGUGGAAAGCUUUUGCGGUAUAGGAUGAGCUCGCGGCCUAUAAGCUUGUUGGUGGGGUAAUGGCCUACCAAGGCGUCGACGGGUAGCCGGCCUGAGAGGAUGGACGGCCACAUUGGACCUGUGAUGCAGGCAGGAGUAGUGAAGGAGGCAGCAGUGGCGAAAGUUGGACAAUGGGAGAAAGCCUGAUGCAGGAACGCCGCGUGGGGGAAGAAGGCUUUCGGGUUGUAAGAACAUAUCGCAACCGACGAAGCCUUUUGGUGACGGUAGGUUGAGAAGAAGCACCGGCUAACUACGUG
rnacentral:rRNA from 1 species